rnacentral:lncRNA from 1 species
ACACUUGGAGACUGAAAGUUGGACUCGUAGGUACUGAGCGUCUUGUUGUGGAGACCAGAUGCAAUGCCUGGGCCUCCUGCUCCAGCUCCCAUCCAGCCCUGGGUCAAAGCCUGCAGGCGAAGGACAGGACAGCAGAGUGAGCUCCAGGAUGUGGAGGAAGGAAGAUGAGGUGUGGUGGGGAAAGGUUCUGGAGGCCACAAGUGUGAAAUCAAGAUGUCAGCAGUGCCAUACUCUCUCUGAAGUCUGUUGGAGAGAACUCUUCUUUGUCUCUCCCAGUUUCUGGUGGUUUCCAGCAAUCCGUGGCUUCCUUGGCUUGUCGUCGCAUCAUUCCAGUCUCAGUCAUCAUGCGGCCUCCUCACUAUGUGUCUGUCUGUGUUUACAUUUUCCUCUUCUCAUAAGGGCAGCAGUAAAUGGAUUAGGCAUGCUAGUAUAUCUUCUUCGCUUGAUGGCAUCUGCAGACUCUGUUUCCAAAUAAGGCCUUGUUCAUGGGUACUGGGGUUAGGACUUCAACACCUCAUUUCUAGUCUCCUAUAUCACCAUGAAGAAAGCUAUGCUAGAAAGCUAUGUCUUUGUUACUUAUACAAAGUGGUAUUGAUAAUAGCUACUUACUCAAAACUACUCAGAAUAAGAUCAGUUUCUAGCAUGACAGUAUGAGGAGCCGCCUGACCCACUCCUCCAGGUAAACUGGUAAAAACAGCCAUUUAAGGCUUCUGGAAAUAGUCCCAAGGAAAAACAGCAAAGGAAGGAACCUGUAUUCAAGAAAAUGUACUAAUUUGGUAGAAGAGGUGAAUCUGUGGGAUUUGAAACAAGACCACUUCUUUCCUCCCCACUCCCAGCUCAGCACGGUGGCAAUUUCCCUCCAGACAGCUACUGCUGAAACACAGGUCUCCUCUCCUCCCAGCACAGAGGGCCUCCUUCCAGGGAGGAGUAGGAUGGCAGUGUCCUUCAUCCUGCCCCCAGCUCCCUGUUGCUGAGGCUGUCUCAGAUGAAUGCAGUUGAGAGGUGGGGGCUGCCACCCCUACCUGCUACUCAUGGAAGGAGACUCUACCUUGGGUGUGACAUGCUGAGAAGACUGUGGCCCUGGUCACUUUUGCCCUGGCUCUUGAGGUGGUGUUUCCAUGCCAGAAGGCUCAAGUUAAGAAGACCACUGGCUAUCCCCAACUCCUCCACCAAGCACCCAGCCCCUAGGCAGGGGGUGUCACUCAGAGAAAAGCUUACCAUUGUUUCUACCCCCAGCUCCAGAGCUCUGGUUCAGAUAUUUUGUUGCAAGGUAGGGGAGAAGAAGCAGUUCAGAGAAAAAAAGGUAAUUCUUAAUCUCUUCCCAAGGGAACUGACUUCAUUUUCAACAGAGCUUGGAGAAAAUUAAGCCUAAGUAUGCUCUGAAAACACAGUGGAGGUUGUGGUGAAGGGCAAUUGGGAGAGGCUAGUUUGCAGGAGAGAACCCAGAAUAAACCACUGGGAAGGAACCCUUCUGGGGGUCAGAACAAAUAUCAAACACUGACCUCAGAAACUAUUCUUUCAAAGGAGCCACAGUUUAAUGGGGUUAGUUUGUGGAACACUUUAUGCCCCAGGAUAUUGUUGAAAACAAUAGGGCAAUUGGCCACCAAUUAAUGGAGCUUAACAGCUGGAUGUGGUUAGGGAAGUGCCAGAGAGCCCUAGCAAAACCACUGUCAUCCCAGCACGACUGUGGGCAUAUGCAAAGCUGAACCUCUUUAGGGAGCAAUAUGAGAGGCUUAACGCUUUGGGAGGGAAAAUAUACAGUUGACCUUUGGACAACACAGGUUUGAACUGCGUGAAUCCACCUAUACAUGAAUUUUUUUCCACCACUGCCAACCUUGAGACAAGACUGACCCCUAUUCUUCUCCCUCCUCUGCAGCAUACUCUACAUGCAGAUGUUGUGGAUAAAGAUCUUUAUGAUGAUCUACUUCCACCUAAUGAAUAGUAAAUGUAUUUUCUCUUCCUUAGGAUUUUCUUAAUAAUAUGCUCUUUUCUGUAACUUAUUUUACUGAAAGAGUACAGUAUAUAAUACAUAUAACACACAAAAUAUAUGUUAAUUGACUAGCUGUGUUAUCAGUGAGGCUCCUUCUGGUCAACAGUAGGCUAUUAGUAAAGUUCUGGGGCAUCAAAAGUUAUACACAAUUAUUUUACUGCAUAGGCAGUCAAUGCCCAUAACCCCUACUUUGUUCAAGUGUCAACUUUACUUCAUGAAAAUAAACCAGGCAGUCACUAAAAACAAUCAAUAAGCAAAUAACAAUAACAAGUCCUGAAGGAGGGAAAGACCAAUAUCCAGAGUCAGUAGAAUAUAUUAUCUAAAAUGUCCAGUUUCUCACAAAAAAUUACAAGGCAUGCAAACAAACAAGAAAGUAUAAUAUGAUCCAUACACCUGAAAAAAAGCAGAGAAAGAAACUAACUUUAAGAAUGAUAAGACAUAGGCUGAGUGUGCCUGUAAUCUCAGCACUUUGAGGGGUUGAGGUGGGAGGAUUGCUUGAGCCCAGGAGAGUGAGGCUAGGCAUCUAUCACACCACUGUGCUCUAGCCUGGGUGACAAAGUGAGACCCUGUCAAAAAAAAGAAAAAAAAAAAACCCUCAAAAAACCUGUUAUAAGCAUGUUCACAGAGCUAAAAGAAGGGAUGAUGACCAUGUUCCAUCAAAUAGAGAAUGCCAACAGAGAGACAGAAUAAUCAAAUGGAAAUUCUGGAUUUGAAAAGUACAAUAAUUGAAAUGAAAUAUUCACUAAAGGGGCUCAAAAGUAGAUUUGAACUGGCAGAAGAAAGAAUAUGUGAAAUUGAAGAUAGAUCAAUAGAGACUAUGCAAGCUGAAGAACAGAAGAAGGAAUAAUGAAAAGUGAAGAGCACUUCAGAAAAUGUGAGACACCAUUAAGUGCACCAACAUACAUGUAAUGGAAGUAUCAGAAGGAAAGGAGAGAAAGGAGCAGAAAAAUCUUGAAGAUUAAGUGGGAAGAUCACUUGAGCUCAGGAGUUUGAGACCAGCCUGGGCAACCUAGUGAGACUUCACCUCUGUUAAAAAAAAUAGCUGGGUGUGGUGAUGUGCACCUGUAGUCCCAGCUAUUCAGAAGGCUGAGGUGGAAGAUUUUUUUAAGCUCGGGAUUUCUGCACUACAGUAAGCUAUGAUCGUGCCACUGCACUCCAGCCUGGGUGAAAGAGCGAGACCCUGUCUCAAUUUUUUUUUUUUCUGAAGAACUAGUGUCUGGAAGCUCCCCAAAUUUACUGAUAGAUAUUUGUCUGUAGUUUUCUUUUCUUGUAAUGUCUUUUUCUGCUUUUGGUACUAGGAUAAUGCUAGCGUCAUCGAAUGAGUUAGAAAGUAUUCCCUUUUCAUCUAUCUUCUGAAAGAGCUUAUAAGGGAAUUGGUAUAGUUUCUUCCUGAAGUGUUGGUGGAAUUCACCAAUGAACUCAUCUGGGCCUGGUACUUUCUGUUUUAGAAGGUUAUUAAUUAUUGAUUCAAUUUCUUUAAUAAAUAUAAGCCUAUUCAGAUUGUCUAUUUCUUCUUGUGUGAGUUUUUCUAGAUUGCAUCCUUCAAAAUAUUGGUCUAUUUCAUCUAAGUUAUCAGAUUUUUGGGCAUAGAACUGUUCAUAGUAUUCCCAAGUUUAUUGAAAAGCAAUAACCUACACAUCCAGAAAGCUCAACAAACUUCAAGUAAGAUAAAUAAAAGCAAAGAGAUACUAAACAGCCACAUCAUAGUACAAAUGCUGAAUUAAAGAUACAGAGAAAAUCUUGAAAGGAG